GGGGAUAUAGCUGAAUGGUUCAGUGCGUGCCUGGCAAGCAUGAGGUCCUGAAUUUGAAUCCUGAUUUCCCCC
rnacentral:tRNA from 1 species